rnacentral:rRNA from 1 species
CUGCUGCCUUCCGUAGGAGUCUGGUCCGUGUCUCAGUACCAGUGUGGGGGGCCUUCCUCUCAGAACCCCUACGCAUCGUCGGCACGGUGGGCCGUUACCCCGCCGUCUACCUAAUGCGACGCAUGUCCAUCCUAUGCCGGAUCUCUCCUUUAACCUCCCGGGAGUGCUCCCAAAAGGUGUUACGCGGUAUUAGGCCGGAUUUCUCCGGGUUAUCCCCCUGCAUAGGGCAGGUUACAUACGUGUUACUCACCCGUGCGCCGGUCGCCGGCAGG